rnacentral:rRNA from 1 species
CCUACGGGUGGCAGCAGUGGGGAAUAUUGGGCAAUGGAGGAAAGUCUGACCCAGCAACGCCGCGUGAAGGAUGAAGGUUUUCGGAUUGGAAACUUCUGUCGCGAGGGAUGAAGAAUGACGGUACCUCGUAAGAAAGCCCCGGCAAACUACGUGCCAGAAGCCGCGGUAAUACGUAGGGUGCGAGGGUGGUCCGGAAGGACGGGGCGUAAAGGGAGUGUAGGGGGCCUAUUAAGGUAUGUGUGAAAGCCCGCGGCUCAACCGCGGAAUUGCACGUGAAACUGGUAAGCUGGAGUGCAGGAGAGGUAAGUGGAAUGCCCGGUGUAGCGGUGGAAUGCGUAGAUAUCGGGAGGAACACCAGCGGCGAAGGCGACUUACUGGACUGUAACUGACGCUGAGGCUCGAAAGCGUGGGGAGCAAACAGGAUUAGAUACCCGGGUAGUC